AGCAGUAGGGAAGUCUUCGGCAAUGGACGAAAGUCUGACCGAGCAACGCCGCGUGAGUGAAGAAGGUUUUCGGAUCGUAAAACCCUGUUGGUAGAGAAGAACGUUGGUGAGAGUGGAAAGCUCAUCAAGUGACGGUAACUACCCAGAAAGGGACGGCUAACUACGUGCCAG
rnacentral:rRNA from 1 species